rnacentral:rRNA from 1 species
UACGUAGGGGGCAAGCGUUGUCCGGAUUUACUGGGCGUAAAGAGCGCGCAGGCGGUCGUUCAAGUCGCGUGUGAAAGCCCCCGGCUCAACUGGGGAGGGUCACGCGAUACUGAUCGACUCGAAGGCAGGAGAGGGUAGUGGAAUUCCCGGUGUAGUGGUGAAAUGCGUAGAUAUCGGGAGGAACACCGGUGGCGAAGGCGGCGACCUGGGUCGAUACUGACGCUGAGGUGCGAAAGCGUGGGGAGCAAACAGG